GUGCCAGCCGCCGCGGUAAUACGUAGGGGGCGAGCGUUGUCCGGAAUUACUGGGCGUAAAGGGCGUGUAGGCGGCCAAGCAAGUCAGCUGUGAAACACCCCGGCUCAACCGUGGUUCUGCAGUUGAAACUGCGUGGCUUGAGUGCAGGAGAGGAGGGUGGAAUUCCUGGUGUAGCGGUGAAAUGCGUAGAUAUCAGGAGGAACACCGGUGGCGAAGGCGACCUUCUGGCCUGUUACUGACGCUGAGGCGCGAAAGCUAGGGGAGCGAACAGGAUUAGAUACCCUGGUAGUCCUAGCCGUAAACGCUGGGUACUAGGUGUAGGCGGUUUAGAUACUGUCUGUGCCGCAGUUAACGCAUUAAGUACCCCGCCUGGGGAGUACGGUCGCAAGGCUGAAACUCAAAUAAAUUGACGG
rnacentral:rRNA from 1 species